UACGUAGGGCGCAAGCGUUGUCCGGAAUUAUUGGGCGUAAAGAGCUCGUAGGCGGUUUGUCGCGUCUGCUGUGAAAACCUCAGGCUCAACCUGGGGCUUGCAGUGGGUACGGGCAGACUAGAGUGUGGUAGGGGAGACUGGAAUUCCUGGUGUAGCGGUGAAAUGCGCAGAUAUCAGGAGGAACACCGAUGGCGAAGGCAGGUCUCUGGGCCACUACUGACGGCUGGAGAAAGCGAAAGCAUGGGGAGCGAACAGG
rnacentral:rRNA from 1 species